AAAUUAAUAUUUUUCCAAAUUUCUUAAAUAUACAAGCGAUGAAAUUGAGAAAAAGUAAACUCGUGAUUUUCCCGCAAAAAACGUAAACCCGUGAUUUUUCCAGCCAAAAACGAAAACUCAAGAUUUUCCCAACAAAAAAUAUAAACUCGUGAUUUUUCCGCCAAAAACGUAAACCCGUGAUUUUUCCGCCAAAAACGAAAACCCGUGAUUUUCCCGCCAAAAUACGUAAACCCGUGAUUUUCCCGUCAAAAACGAAAACACUUGAUUUUCCCGUCGAAAACGUAAAGUUGUAAUUUUCCCGCCAAAAACGAAAACCCGUGAUUUUCCCGCCAAAAACGUAAACCCGUGAUUUUCCCGCCGAAAACGUAAACUUGUGAUUUUCCCGCCAAAAACGUAAACCCGUAAUUUUCUCGUUGAAUACGUAAACCCGUAAAAAGUGGAAUCCGUAAAUAUCCUAUGUUUGAUGAUAAUGAAUUAAUAAUUAUUAAUAAUGAUAAUUAUUUAUUAUUAUUUUAUAAUAAUAAUUAAUUAAAUUAUUACUUAAAUGAGUUAAUUCAUUUAACAACUCAACCCAUCAAAUUAAAUGAGUUAUGGGGUUACCCAACCCAUUUAACAAAAUGAGUUGGGUCAACUCAUAACUCAUUUAACCAUAAACUCAUUUGAUUAUAAGUUGAGUUGAGUUGGGUUACCCAAUUUAAAACAUAACAAAAACCAAAAUGAGUUCGGUGUAAGUCAUCAAAGGACAAUCUUUCCAAUCAAUCAAUUUCAUAAUAAGUUGUAUAAACACACAGAUAGAAGAUGAAAU
rnacentral:sRNA from 1 species